CAGGGUGAAGCUCCACGGCUGCUGACCUUGUGGAGAAACCAAACAACUGUCUGCUGUGACCAGAGAGGAGAAGACAGAUGCUUUGCUAACAGCCCUUUGAAAGGUGUGAGAAAAAGCAGCGAGGCUUUCAGUCCUCUCAUGUGGAAACAGUGGAGGAAGCCAAGGACGAGGCCGAGGGAAACGACGCGGCAAUUUGUGAGCUUGUCAUUGAACUGAGAGCAAGGAGUCGGAUUCAAACAAUGCCACCGAGGGUUGAAGGCUUCUGAAGAGAGGGGAGAGAAACAAGGGUCUCUGACGCUGCUGCUGACACACAUGCAUGAUGACAUGGAGGAAUGGCUGAAUCUUGGUGGCGAGCAGCACAAACACCUCUUCUGUAAACAGCUGUGGCUAAACUUGGCUGCAGAAACUUUUGGCAAGCAAAUCGGGAAAUGGAGCGGCUAGCAAAUUUACUCUCACUCAUCCACAUUUGUGAAAUAAACACAGGGAAGGAGAGGAGAGCAGGGGGGGGAGGUUAGCAGGCUUCUGUGCUGUGUGACUAAUAUAGCCUGGAAGGAGAUUGACCAGACUGUCAAUAUGUUGUGCUUUCUAAACACUGGAAGGGAAAGGAUUAAGUGAUGGGCGACUAAAAGGGACUUGCGACUGCAGACUUGGAAAGCUUUGCACGGUGCAUAAAGACCCAGU